GGAAGCAGAAUGACUCAUGACGUUACAUAGUCGCCUACGAGCCAAUGAUGAGCAAACGAGGCAGCGAAUCGUGCAGCUGUAGGCUUGCAGCAGGUUGGCGGGCGAAUGGUCAUAAAGAGAAGAUAACAGGCAUGUCGAGUGCUGUGAGUAUUCCAUUCAUUUAGACAACUACGUUUCCAAGAUCAUCAAGAGAUCAUAGUGUGACAGAUGGGAGAACACACACACACCUCAAUGGAUGACAUAUUAUAAUUACGGAGACUAGUUGUAAGGAUAAUGGAGUGCAAUUUUCUGAUUCAGUGAUCUGCAGGUUUGAAGAACUAAUAUUGUGUAGAAAAUGGCAAUCGAA